rnacentral:tRNA from 1 species
GGGCGAUUAGCUCAGUUGGUUAGAGUACUUGCUUGACAUGCAAGGGGUCACUGGUUCGAUUCCAGUAUCGCCCACCA